GCUGACGCAGAGCGGAAGGAGCAGUCCUGCGUUAACUGCGGCCGGGAGGCUAUGAGCGAGUGCACCGGCUGCCACAAGGUCAACUACUGCUCCACCUUCUGCCAACGCAAGACGGAGUCUCGCUCUGUCGCCCAGGCUGGAGUGUAGUGGCGCCAUCUCAGCUCACCGCAAGCUCCGCCUCCCAGGUUCACGCCAUUCUCCUGCCUCAGCCUCCCGAGUAGCUGGGACCACAGGCACCCGCCACCACGCCCGGCUGAUUUUUUGUAUUUUUAGUAGAGACAGGGUUUCACUGUGUUAGCCAGGAUGGUCUCGAUCUCCUGACCUUGUGAUCUGCCCUCCUCAGUCUCCUUUCAAAGUGCUGGGAUUACAGGCGUGAGCCACCGUGCCCAGCUGAAUUAUCUGUUUUUAUCUGCCAUUAUGCCUGUUUUUGCUUCAUUUAUUUUGGGUCUCUGUUGUUAGGUGCAUGUAUGUUUAGUUUAUAAUUAUCAUUCCUGAUGAAUUAGCUCUUUUAUCAUUAUAAAACAUCCUUCUUUGUCUCAAUAAGUUUUUUAUUUUUUAUUUAAUUUUUUUUUUUUUUUUCUUACAGAGAUGGAGUCUUACUAUGUUGACCAGCCUGGUCUCCAUCUCCUGGCUUCGGGCGAUCCUCCCAUGUCAGCCUCCCAAAGUGCUAGGAUUAUAGGCAUGAGGCACUACACCAGCCAACAGAAGUUUUUAUAUUAAAAUUUACUUUUUCUAGCUGGGCACAGUGGCUCACGCCUGUCAUCCCAGCACUUUGGGAGGCUGAGGCAGGUGGAUCACCGGUCGGGAGUUUGAGACCAGCUUGGCUAACAUGGUAAGACCCCAUCUCUACUAAAAACACAAAAAUUAGCCAGGCGUGGUGGCGCGUGCCUGUAAUCCCAGCUACUAGCGGGGCUGAGGCAGGAGGAUUGCUUGAACCUGGGAGGCGGAGGUUGCAGUAAGCCAAGAUCACUCCACUGCACUCUAGUCUGGGCAACAGAG
rnacentral:lncRNA from 1 species